rnacentral:rRNA from 1 species
AGUGAACGCUGGCGGCGUGCUUAACACAUGCAAGUCGAACGAGAACGGGCUAUAGCUUGCUAUAGUUGUCAGCUAAGUGGCGCACGGGUGAGUAAUAUAUAGGUAAUAUGCCUCUUACUAAGGGAUAACAAAUGGAAACGUUUGCUAAUACCUUAUACUCCUUAUUAACAGAAGUUAAUAAGGGAAAGAUUUAUUGGUAAGAGAUUAGCCUGUAUUGUAUCAGUUAGUUGGUGGGGUAAUGGCUUACCAAGACUAUGACACAUAACUGGUUUGAGAGGAUUAUAAGUCACACUGGAACUGAGACACGGUCCAGACUCCUACGGGAGGCAGCAGUGGGGAAUAUUGCACAAUGGACGAAAGUCUGAUGCAGCAACGCCGCGUGGAGGAUGACACAUUUCGGUGCGUAAACUCCUUUUAUAUGAGAAGAUAAUGACGGUAUUAUAUGAAUAAGCACCGGCUAACUCCGUGCCAGCAGCCGCCGUAA